AUUGAACGCUGGCGGCAGGCCUAACACAUGCAAGUCGAGCGGGGUUUUCGGACCUAGCGGCGGACGGGUGAGUAAUGCGUAGGAAGCUACCCGAUAGAGGGGGAUACCAGUUGGAAACGACUGUUAAUACCGCAUAAUGUCUACGGACCAAAGUGUGGGACCUUCGGGCCACAUGCUAUCGGAUGCGCCUACGUGGGAUUAGCUAGUUGGUGAGGUAAUGGCUCACCAAGGCGACGAUCCCUAGCUGGUUUGAGAGGAUGAUCAGCCACACUGGAACUGAGACACGGUCCAGACUCCUCCGGGAGGCAGCAGUGGGGAAUAUUGGACAAUGGGCGCAAGCCUGAUCCAGCCAUGCCGCGUGUGUGAAGAAGGCCUUCGGGUUGUAAAGCACUUUCAGUAGGGAGGAAGGGUUAAGUGUUAAUAGUACUUAACUUUGACGUUACCUACAGAAGAAGCACCGGCUAACUCUGUGCCAGCCGCCGCCGUAACAC
rnacentral:rRNA from 1 species